CCUACGGGAGACUGCAGUGAGGAAUAUUGGUCAAUGGACGAGAGUCUGAACCAGCCAAGUAGCGUGAAGGAUGACUGCCCUAUGGGUUGUAAACUUCUUUUAUAUGGGAAUAAAACGUUCCACGUGUGGGAUUUUGUAUGUACCAUAUGAAUAAGGAUCGGCUAACUCCGUGCCAGCAGCCGCGGUAAUACGGAGGAUCCGAGCGUUAUCCGGAUUUAUUGGGUUUAAAGGGAGCGUAGGUGGAUUGUUAAGUCAGUUGUGAAAGUUUGCGGCUCAACCGUAAAAUUGCAGUUGAAACUGGCAGUCUUGAGUACAGUAGAGGUGGGCGGAAUUCGUGGUGUAGCGGUGAAAUGCUUAGAUAUCACGAAGAACUCCGAUUGCGAAGGCAGUUCACUGGACUGUAACUGACACUGAGGCUCGAAAGUGUGGGUAUCAAACAGGAUUAGAUACCCUAGUAGUC
rnacentral:rRNA from 1 species